UACGUAGGGGGCAAGCGUUGUCCGGAUUCAUUGGGCGUAAAGAGCGUGUAGGCGGCCAGAAAAGUCCGCUGUGAAAACUCGAGGCUCAACUUCGAGCUGUCGGUGGAAACUUUCUGGCUAGAGUCCGGAAGAGGAGAAUGGAAUUCCUGGUGUAGCGGUGAAAUGCGCAGAUAUCAGGAAGAACACCCCGUGGCGAAGGCGGUUCUCUGGGACGGUACUGACGCUGAGACGCGAAAGCGUGGGGAGCGAACAGG
rnacentral:rRNA from 1 species